CACAGCGUUUAUGGAUACCGUUGUUAAUCGAACAUUUCCAUUUUUCCAUGGAGGGUACCUGAAAUUACGCUAAUCGGCCUUUUUAAGUUGUAUUUUUAGAGUAAAGACGACAGAAGAUCCUUUAACACUAGGACUGAGUAUAAUGACUGUGACUGGAACAGUGCAGAAGCAUAUUGCUACUCUCUCAAGACAAGCUACUCGAGAGUCUCUCACUUUAGGUUCUCUGGGAGGUAGUUCAAUAGUUGCAACAGAAUGUGGAGACCCUGCCUGUAAUACAAACAAUUCUAUUCUUCAUAGAAAACUUCAAGAUGUUAACAUAGAACUAGCUAGGAACAGAGAACUAGUUUUCCAGGAGCAGUUUUUGAACUGCAGUGCAGAACUUAAGAAAGUGGACGAGGAAGUGAACGAAACUACACAGACUUAUAUUCAGGAGAGCACCAUUAGUAUCCAGCAGAGUCUAAAUACAACAAACCAAAUUUUGGAACAGCUUAGUCUUCUCUCUAGUUCAUUAACAGAUUCAGGACUUGCUCAGCUACUCCCACUUUAGAUUCAGGAUUAGCGCAGCUACUCCCAAUAUAAAUUCAGAAUUAGCUCAUCUACUUAAUCUAGAUUCAGGAUUCAAGAUUAGCUCAGCUACUCCCAGUAAAGAUUCAGGGUUAGCUCAGCUACUCUCAAUAUAGAUUCAGGGCUAGCUCAGCUACUCCCAAUAAUGAUUCAGGAUUAGCUUAGCUACUCUCAAUAUAGAUUCAGGACUAGCUCAGUUACUCCCAAUAUAGAUUCAGGGCUGGCUCAGCUACUCCCAAUAAUGAUUCAGGAUUAGCUGAGCUAAUCUCAACAUAGAUUCAGGGCUAGCUCAGCUACUCUCAAUAUAGAUUCAUGGCUAGCUCAGUUACUCCUAAUAUAGAUUCAGGGUUAGCUCAGCUUCUCCCAAUAAUGAUUCAGGAUUAGCCCAGCUACUCUCAAUAUAGAUUCAGGGCUAGCUCAGCUACUCCCAAUAAUGAUUCAGGACUAGCUCAGCUGCUCUCAAUAUAGAUUUAGGAUUAAUUCAGCUACUCUCAAUAUAGAUUCAGGGCUAGCUCAGCUACUCCCAAUAAUGAUUUAUGAUUAGCUUAGCUACUCUCAAUCUAGAUUCAGGGUUAGCUCAGCUACUCUCAAUAUAGAUUCAGGGCUAGCUCAGCUGCUCCCAAUAUAGAUUAAUGGUCAGCUCAUCUACUCUCAAUAUAUGAUUAUAUGAAACUCUUAAAAUAUUUUCGCAUAUUUCAUGGUUAUUUCUUUGUUUUAUAAUUAUGAAUCACUGAGAUUUAGGUAUAUAUUUAAGUAUAAAACCCACUGAAAAAUUGUUAUGAUGACAUUUUAUAAAUUCUUUUGAACUUCUUUUUUUCGUCUAAGAGCUAGUGCUUUAUCAUUACAUUAUGAUUGCCUUUUUUUGCGAACUUUCGGUGAUUAAAGACUUUGCAUUUAAGUAAGGUUAAUAAUGGAAUAAAUUUGUUUGAUGUUUCUCAUAUUCUUGAUUCAAGAAAUACAAAUUUACAAAUAUAAUAUUUGAUAAUUUUGU
rnacentral:misc_RNA from 1 species